rnacentral:lncRNA from 1 species
AUGACACCCCCACCAGGUCACACACCCCUUGCAAAUGUCAGGGCCCCUCUAACCUGCCUCCUCAUUACCAAGUUUGGGGAGGAUUUGGAGGUGCACUCAAAUUUGGGCUUUGAGCCCAGAAAAUUGGGAUGGGGUCCCUGUGUUGGGGUGACCUGUUAUCUUGCAUGGGGAGUCCCUGAGCAGAGCACCCCAUUAUCCCACAUGGGGAGCUGUUCUGGGCUCAGUGCCGGUGGUGCUGGGGAGGAAACCCCUGGUCUUAGAGCGAGGGGAUUCCACCGCCCUACCCCCACCUCCACCUGGGGUCAGGCCCACACAGAAGCGGACCCUGGUGCCAGAGCUGUCUACAGGUGUGGGGGGGAAAUCGCUUCCCCUUGGUCCCCCCCCCCUUCCCCUCCCAUGGGGCAUUUGUGUAUAAAAGAAACAUUGGAUAAACAAUCCUCAACUUUGUGGCUAAAUAAAAACUUGCAAAAAAAAAAAAAGUGCCCCAUUGACCUCCUGGUGUCUGUAAGUGGGACAUGGGCCAUCAGGGAGCGCCGGCUCCAAUCUGGCCACAGGGCGGAGAGGAGUGGGGGGGAGGCGCUUUCCACUCUAGGGGGCACCAGCUCCAAUCCAGUCCCCUGCUACAGCGCUUCAUCGCCCCCCUCCACAGCCACAGGCGAGGGGCUGAGCAGGCCCCGGACUGGCUGCCUCCAAAGGCAGGCAGGCGGCACAUUGCUGGGGCUGGGGAGGGGAGGGGCGUGCUCUGGCACUGCUGCUGUGGAGGCCAGUGAGGUGCUGGGCAGCCUGGUCCCACCAAUCCUGCCUCCGGGGACAUGUCUAUGCUCCCAGCCCCCAGGGCACUGGGGAGCUGCUUUGCACUGCAACAGCCCAGAGGCCUUCAAGGGGUGCCAACAUUGUGGUUCAAAACUAAGGGCCUGUUUUCAUGCCCCCCCCCCCCCCCAGAUAUUGUUAUUAUUUGAGGUCGCAGCAUGUAGCAAUAAGAAGCCGUACUCACCCCUCUCUACUCGCCAGGGGCAUUGCUUGCUGCUUUUCGCAGCACUCAGCAACUCCGGAGCUGCUUGUACAGAGAUGAAAAAAUAA